rnacentral:rRNA from 1 species
AUUGAACGCUGGCGGCAGGCCUAACACAUGCAAGUCGAGCGAUAACGGUCUUCGGACUUAUUAAAGCGGCGGACGGGUGAGUAACGCGUGGGAAUCUACCCAGUAGUGGGGGACAACAGUUGGAAACGACUGCUAAUACCGCAUACGCCCUAAGGGGGAAAGGCAGGGGAAUCUUCGGAUCCUUGUGCUAUUGGAUGAGCCCGCGUGAGAUUAGAUAGUUGGUGAGGUAAUGGCUCACCAAGUCUACGAUCUCUAGCUGGUCUGAGAGGAUGAUCAGCCACACUGGAACUGAGACACGGUCCAG